GACGAACGCUGGCGGCGUGCCUAACACAUGCAAGUGGAGCGACGAACCAGGGCUUGCCCUGGGGCAGAGCCGCGAACGGGUGAGUAACACGUGGGUAACGUGCCCCGAUGAUCGGGACAACCCGGGGAAACCCGGGCUAAUACCGAAUGUGCUCCCCUCACACCAGUGAGGGAUGGAAAGGAAGCUUCGGCCUCCGCAUCGGGAUCGGCCCGCGGCCCAUUAGCUUGUUGGUGAGGUAACGGCUCACCAAGGCUGCGAUGGGUAGCUGGUCUGAGAGGACGAUCGGCCACACUGGGACUGAGACACGGCCCAGACUCCUACGGGAGGCAGCAGUGGGGAAUCUUGCGCAAUGCGCGAAAGCGUGACGCAGCAACGCCGCGUU
rnacentral:rRNA from 1 species